rnacentral:rRNA from 1 species
CCUACGGGUGGCAGCAGUGGGGAAUAUUGGACAAUGGGCGAAAGCCUGAUCCAGCCAUGCCGCGUGUGUGAAGAAGGCCUUCGGGUUGUAAAGCACUUUCAGUGGGGAAGAAAGCCUUGGGGCUAAUACCCUCGAGGAAGGACAUCACCCACAGAAGAAGCACCGGCUAACUCCGUGCCAGCAGCCGCGGUAAUACGGAGGGUGCGAGCGUUAAUCGGAAUUACUGGGCGUAAAGCGCGCGUAGGCGGUCUGAUAAGCCGGUUGUGAAAGCCCCGGGCUCAACCUGGGAAUGGCAUCCGGAACUGUCAGGCUAGAGUGCAGGAGAGGAAGGUAGAAUUCCCGGUGUAGCGGUGAAAUGCGUAGAGAUCGGGAGGAAUACCAGUGGCGAAGGCGGCCUUCUGGACUGACACUGACGCUGAGGUGCGAAAGCGUGGGUAGCAAACAGGAUUAGAUACCCUGGUAGUC